UUUGUUUUUUUAGGGUGAGAACAUCCAUCCCCACAGAAAACUAACAUGUCAAGGUUCUUUUAAUGUGCCUUGCUGAGAGGCUAGCUUUCCUCCUCUAGGGACUUUUGUUGAUGGUGAUCAGCAUUUGAGUAGAUGGUUGCCCACCUGCAGUCCAAAUUGGUACAGCCGCAUUUAUAACCUGAUAUGCAACAAACCCUGCAUUUUAUGUACAAACUCCAUCACAAAAGUGGGAGAUGGAAACCAAUCCAGUCCAUAUACCAUGUGAGAAGGAGGAUGCUACAGCCAAUCCUGCUACUUGCCCCUUUUGUUCAAGGGCAUAAUUUCACUUUAUAUACCCUUGAACAAAUUGUUUUGGAGAUUCUUUCUUUCUUUGACGCUAGAACUACUGUUUCCUGCAAACUAGCUCUUGGAAAAUUCAGGUCCCUACAUGUGGGAAAACACCAUGAAAGGGGGAAAGACACUACUGAUGUUGAGUUAUUGCAUUAUGUUUAUCUAAAUGAAGUCAGCUUCCAGAAUUACUCUUUCAAAUACCACAGUUGCCAGUUUCUUUGGCGCCCGUUUAACUGUAUGACCUUUUUUUCUAAAAGACAAUCAACCUUUGUGUGGUGUUAUCAGUUAAUUAUAAUUAUCUAAAGAUGUACUGUUUUUCCCAUGGAAAUGUUUUAUUAAAUUGCAAAGACAGUGUGUAGUGUGGUUUAAAAAAACCUGGUGGGGAGGGGAAUCUUUGCCUCUUCUUUGUGGCAAAUUUUGACAAGAACUGAGUACUCUCAGACAUAGAUUCCUUUGGCCACAGAGUUGCCUGGCGAUUUCACAUCGAUCUAUGAAGUCCAGGCUUCAUUUGCUGCACAAUAUCUGGCCAUGUGCAGUUCUUCUGUUUGCCCGUUCUUCCCCAUUGUUCUCGUUCCCCAAUCUGACGACGACUCUGUGCCUUCUAAAUGUCCCCUCAGUUCCUUCUGCAUGCAAAACACUUAAUAUUCCACAAGGAGUGUUCCCUGACCUCUAAUUAUUAAAGCCUGAUUUUGAUCAUAAUAAAAUCUUAUAGCAGAGAGAUAAUUUCGACCGU
rnacentral:lncRNA from 1 species